GUGUUACAUUGUGUUCGGGGGGAAUCGCUAUUUUAUACUUAACAAUACGCCAGAGAGAGUUAAAAUAAUUAUUUCAGAACAAAGACGUAAUGAUAUCUGCUGAAGAAGUAGUAAUGAUGUGAAAUUAAAUCAUAGUUGGAAACCCAGUCAUGUCGAUUGAAUUUUCACGAGGAAUGAAAUAAUAAGCGGGUGUCACGUGUCUUUGUACGUAUACCUGAAACUUUCUUGGGUGCAUUAUAGUUGGGCCAUUCACAAGGACUUUUGAAGACCCGGCGUUUUAUCUCGACUGUUUUUGUAACGAGCAGUGACCAAUUCAAAGAAUCGAGAAUAGGGCCCUGAGAACACUAUAGGUGGGAUCAGGUGUCUAGGAGGGGUAAACAUACCUUGUUGACCGGCCAUACCCACCGUAAUCCCUCUGUCUUGAUCAUGUAAAAGGAGUAAUCGAUAUUUAGAAUUAGUAGAGAACGGUCCAAGAAUUGGUAUGGAACACGCCAGAUGACAAUCGACCCAACGGCCCGCUGUGUUUAUAAAUUAGAUCAUCAUAACGACCAUGGAAUUUUGCAAAAUGCUGACCCUCAACGAGACAGUUGAAACCCCCGUAACAUUAACUUAUUUGUCAAAUAGAUGUCGUGGUGUAGAAACUGGUCAUACGCAGAUAUGCUAUCGCUUAUUAAGUCAGAUGGGAUACGUAAACACCAUAUGCAGGGUAUAAUGGAAUAUUCCAAUUACAUAUAUAUGGGAAAUUGACGAUGGGAAAGAUGAAGUCAUGCUGUUUGUCAUAAUGUUUAGUUGUUAGUUUGCUAUUAAUAUGUUCAUAAAGUAAAACAUUUGAAU